AUCUUCCACAAUGGGCGCGAGCCUGAUGGAGCAACGCCGCGUGUGUGAUGAAGGGUUUCGGCUCGUAAAACACUGUUAUAAGAGAAGAACGACAUUGAGAGUAACUGUUCAGUGUGUGACGGUAUCUUAUCAGAAAGGAACGGCUAAAUACGUGCCCGCAGCCGCGGUAAUACGUAUGUUCCAAGCGUUAUCCGGAUUUAUUGGGCGUAAAGCGAGCGCAGACGGUUAUUUAAGUCUGAAGUGAAAGCCCUCAGCUCAACUGAGGAAGGGCUUUGGAAACUGGAUAACUUGAGUGCAGUAGAGGAAAGUGGAACUCCAUGUGUAGCGGUGAAAUGCGUAGAUAUAUGGAAGAACACCGGUGGCGAAAGCGGCUUUCUGGACUGUAACUGACGUUGAGGCUCGAAAGUGUGGGUAGCAAAC
rnacentral:rRNA from 1 species